GGCUGGCCUGAAGGCAGUGAGUUAUCUCAAAUGAGAGUUCACAACCAGCUACAGACUGAACUCCUUGCUCUAUUCUCUACCCCGUUCUCACUACUUCACUGAACUAGUUUUAA
rnacentral:Y_RNA from 1 species